rnacentral:lncRNA from 1 species
CAAAACUAAAAAUAAAAUAAAACAUGCAUACGAUGAAAAAUUAUUGGUAAAUGUAGAAUUAGCAAAGAAGUUUUUACCAAAAGAAAAAUUAACUAUAGUGCAGGCUGAUAAAACAAAGCAGUUAGUAAUUAUGGAAAAGGGUGUGUUUGAACGGGAAAAAGAAAUUUUUUUAGAGAGUAAAAUGUUUGUUAAGUUAAAUGAUGAUCCAAAGCAGCAGAUUAAGAAAUUGUUAAGCCGAUUAGUAUCUGGUUGGAAUAUUGAGAUUGAUGAGCAGACAAAAAAAUAUACAUUAUUAGAAACUUUUAGAGAUCCUAGGUUAAAUUUGCGAAUUAAGACACACAAAGAAGGCCAUCCAUAUAGACCAAUACUUUAGAAACACGAGAUUAUAUAAUUUAGAGAAAUUUGUAAAGCAGAGAUUAAAUGUUGUAAAAAAUUCACCAUGUUCAAUAAAAAAUGCUGAUGAAGUAAUAUUAAAGUUAAAAAAUAUAGUUAUGCC